rnacentral:rRNA from 1 species
GGGAGCCGGAGGGAAACCGAGUCUUAACCGGGCGUUAAGUUGCAGGGUAUAGACCCGAAACCCGGUGAUCUAGCCAUGGGCAGGUUGAAGGUUGGGUAACACUAACUGGAGGACCGAACCGACUAAUGUUGAAAAAUUAGCGGAUGACCUGUGGCUGGGGGUGAAAGGCCAAUCAAACCGGGAGAUAGCUGGUUCUCCCCGAAAGCUAUUUAGGUAGCGCCUCGUGAAUUCAUCUCCGGGGGUAGAGCACUGUUUCGGCCAGGGGGCCAUCCCGGCUUACCAAUCCGAUGCAAACUGCGAAUACCGGAGAAUGUUAUCACGGGAGACACACGGCGGGUGCUAACGUCCGUCGUGAAGAGGGAAACAACCCAGACCGCCAGCUAAGGUCCCAAAGUCAUGGUUAAGUGGGAAACGAUGUGGGAAGGCCCAGACAGCCAGGAUGUUGGCUUAGAAGCAGCCAUCAUUUAAAGAAAGCGUAAUAGCUCACUGGUCGAGUCGGCCUGCGCGGAAGAUGUAACGGGGCUAAACCAU